rnacentral:snRNA from 1 species
GCUUCCAUAGCACAGAGUGAAAUUGGAGGGAUGCUGAGAUUACCAUGGCCCUUGCCCAACGGUGACAUGAAUUUAUGAGGGAUUCCAUAUUUUU